CGCGGCCUAUCAGCUUGUUGGUGGGGUAAUGGCUCACCAAGGCGACGACGGGUAGCUGGUCUGAGAGGACGACCGGCCACACUGGGACUGAGACACGGCCCAGACUCCUACGGGAGGCAGCAGCGGGGAAUAUUGCACAAUGGGCGAAAGCCUGAUGCAGCGACGCCGCGUGGGGGAUGACGGCCUUCGGGUUGUAAACCUCUUUCAGGAGGGACGAAGCGUAAGUGACGGUACCUGCAGAAGAAGCCCCGGCCAACUACGUGCCAGCAGCCGCGGUAAGACGUAGGGCGCGAGCGUUGUCCGGAUUUAUUGGGCGUAAAGAGCUCGUAGGCGGCUUGUCGCGUCGACUGUGAAAACCCGAGGCUUAACUGCGGGCCUGCAGUCGAUACUGGCAGGGUUGAGUUCGGUAGGGGAGACUGGAAUUUCUGGGUGUAGCGGGGGAAUGCGCAGAUAUCAGGAAGAACACCGGUGGCGAGGGCGGGUCUCUGGGCCGAUACUGACGCUGAGGAGCGAAAGCGUGGGGAGCGAACAGGAUUAGAUACCCUGGUAGUCCACGCUGUAAACGUUGGGCGCUAGGUGUGGGGGACCUCUCCGGUUCUCUGUGCCGCAGCUAACGCAUUAAGCGCCCCGCCUGGGGAGUACGG
rnacentral:rRNA from 1 species